rnacentral:rRNA from 1 species
CCUACGGGAGGCAGCAGUGGGGAAUAUUGCACAAUGGGGGAAACCCUGAUGCAGCGACGCCGCGUGAGUGAAGAAGUACUUCGUUAUGUAAAGCUCUAUCAGCCGGGAAGAAAAUGACGCUACCUGAGUAAGAAGCCCCGGCCAACUACGUGCCAGCAGCCGCGGUAACACGUCGGGGGCAAGCGUUAUCCGGAUUUACUGGGCGUAAGGGGAGUGUAGACGGGAGUGCAAGUCUGGAGUGAAAGGCGGGGGUUCAACCCCCGGACUGCUCUGGAAACUGUACGGCUGGAGUGCAGGAGAGGUAAGUGGAAUUCCUGGUGUAGCGGUGAAAUGCAUAGAUAUUAGGAGGAACACCAGUGGCGAAGGCAGCUUACUGGACUGUAACUGACGUUGAGGCACGAAAGCGUGGGGAGCAAACAGGAUUAGAUACCCCUGUAGUC